rnacentral:sRNA from 1 species
CUAUCUGAGUCUGGGGCCAAUAGGUUUGCAGCAAUGCUCUGGUCGCCGUAAUACCGGCCUUUAAUGACUAUUAAUACAGACCUGAUAAUCAUAUUCACUGAUGACGUCAAAAGGGUUCUUAUGACACAACAGCCGCAAGUCAAAUACCGU